rnacentral:lncRNA from 1 species
UGAGAAAACAGGGACCGGAGCCAACGUGGAUCUACAGUGUUUGUUGAUACUGUACUGGGAAGGAUGCAGACUUCUAGUGAGGAAAGAGAAGAAAUCACAGUUUGGAGUAGAAUCCCCAAUUAUAAACUAUCUCGGUGGCUCCCAACUAUUUUGAUAUGAUAAAGUCUCUCUAAAAUAGAAUUCUGGCCGGGCAUGGUGGCUCAAGCCCAUAAUCCCAGCACUUGGGGAGGCCAAAGGCAGGCAGAUCACUUGAGGUCAGGAGUUCGAGACCAGCCUGGCUAACAUGGUGAAACCCCAUCUCUACUAAAAAUACAAAAAUUAACUGGGCUGUGGUGGUCAUCUGUAAUCUCAGCUACUCAGGAGGCUGAGUCAGGAGAAUCGCCUGAACCCAGGAGGCGGAGGUUGCAGUGAGACAAGAUCGUGCCACUGCACUCCAGCCUGGGUGACAGAGUGAGAGUCUGUCUAAAAAAAAAAAAUUGAAUUGUACCAUUCCACUGGCAUGGAAAAGGUAUGCCUGAGAUGUCAAAUCACCAGAAGUUACCAUGACCUGAUUACCACACCUAAAGGAACCUGAUUUUUAAUGGGUCUAUGUCAUAUGUACUUCACAUACUUGACAUAUGUGUGAAGACAAUGUUUGGCAGCUGCUGCCCAGUUCUUCUCGGUUUCCUUUCAAAGUCUCUGCAGUGCCCUUAUCCACACCCACACAGAUCGAGGUCUGCAUCUCACAGGCUAUAAACCUUCAGGACAGAGAUGGAAGCUUGGGGGAAAUGAAAUGUUAAGUGGUUAGGGUAGAAAAAUAGGAACUGUGGGGUUUUAGGGAGCCGAUGUGGCACAAAACCCCAGAAAGCCUUUGAGCCUCUUCAGCCAUCACCAUGCCUCACCCUCCCUGCCCACCAAGCUCACUGGUGCUGACACCCAAGGCUUUGUGAGGGAGUCAGGCAUUCUUAUUGUUUAUCACACUUGUAGAGUUGGCACACAGUUAGACAUGAGCAGGAAAGGGAGCCCCUGGGGGAGGAAGCUCCAGAGACCACCUGAAACCUGCAUGCUAAAUAUGAGCACAGGGGAAGAUACCUAUGCAGAAAGGAAUGUCCCAAACACCCCAUCAGAUGCCCAGUCGCUGCUCAUUCUGCUGGUAAACUGUCAGAAUGUAGCUAGCUGUAUGCUGAUAGGAAGGGAAAAAGGAAAAAGGGGGAAUUCCUAAGAGAUACACAGGCACAAUAGGUACAGAUUUGACUGCUGUAGACCUUCCUGGUGUGGUGGUCUCGAGCAAGGCUACCAUUAGGUAGGAUUUGUAUUGAUCACCAUGCCUCAUGCAUGCACGUCAACUGACCAGAAGGAGGAAUCCCACAAACCUGGGCAGGGACUUAAGACAGGAACAGGAAACUAGACAAAGACAAAGACAGAGACUUAAGACAGAAGUAGGCACUUAAAUAAACAGUCCAACAUAAUAAAAACCACAACACAAGGCUCUCAGGGCUGCUCUGGGUCAGCCUGCCCCUCUCAUGAUGUGUUCUUUUAUUUCCUUAAUAAACCUUCUUGUUUACUUUACCAAUUGGUCUCUUGGCUGAAUUCUUUUCUCCAAGAAGACUAAGAACUUAGGACCCCACACUUCCCAGUAACAACAUUACAACAUUGGCACAGCACUCUUCAUUUUACUCAACACCCAUGUGAACAAGGUGGUAUUAUUUCUGUUUCAUAGGUGAGAAAAUGGAGGAUCAGAUCAAGAGACAAGCCCAUUAAAUGACAGAAGAGGGGCUGAAAUCUGAGCCCUAGCUGCAGAAACUCAGACCCUUACCAAAUAGAUCCACCAGCAUGCAGACCUCAGAUAAGGGGGAACUGGAGACUGAACUCUGACCACCAUGUCUUGUUCUUUUGUUCUACAUUUCUUCCUGAGGGGCCUGGAGAAAGUUACACCUACGAGCCAGAGCUAACAUUCUUUUCUGCUGACCCCACAAUUUUUAUUUUUAUUUAUUUUGUUGCUUACUUAUUUAAAAAAUUGAGAUGGACUCUUGCUAUGUUGCCUAGGCUGGUCUUGAACUCCUGGGCUCAAGCGAUCCUCCCGCCUCGGCCUCCCAAGUGCUGGAAUUACAGGCGUGAGCCACUGCGCCAAGCCCUCAAAUUUUUAAACAAAGUAUUUCUUCCUUAACAAAUUGCCACUCAGAAAAAUCUCUGAAUCUAUCUAUGACCUGUAGAUAGGUCCCCACUUCAAGACAUCCCACCUCUUUCAGCCAAUGCCCACGUGCAACCUCCAGGUAUUGAUUUACGAUUUUGCCUGUAACUUCUGCUUUCCUGAAACUUACCCUGCCUUUAAGAACUCUUACCUGUGAGGAUUAAACUCUGACCUUCUUCCUCUCUUGCCCAAAUUCCUAUCUAAGGGGCCUAGGUUUGCCCUACAAACCAUAAAAUCUCAUCAGAGAGGUUUUAUUUAACCUGAUAUAACAUGGCCUGCUUUCCAAACUGACUCUGGUAUAACUGAAACCGCCAUUGCAAAAUUAUAACUGAGACCAUGACACAGAUCUGAGCUAACAAACUCCAUCUUGCUUCUAACCUCCAAGCUGUCCUUGUUCAUUCCUGGGAAUAGGCUGAAAUAACUUUGGGAGAAAUUUAGUUUAUAGUUUAUAGUUUGAAACGAAGAUGAUAACAGCCCUUUUUUAAAAACAAACCCCUUUCUUGCCUGGGGACCAGCCUACCUAAUUUGUUAGGGGUAACAAAUUAGUCAUAUGGUUAGAAAUUAUGGUGUAGGAGUCAUGCAGCUGGAGGCUACGAGACUCUGAUGCUCCCCAAAUUGCUACUAGGAAUAACAUCACUAUUGUAAAACCGAAGAUCAGUGCUUGAGAUAUUCUGCAGACCCUGCACUUGAUGGAUCAGCUGGCACCACCCAGAUCAAUAAACUGGCUCAUCUGAUCUUGUGGCCCCAUCCAGGAACUGACUCAGCACAAGAGGACAGCUUCAACUCCCUGUGAUUUCAUCUCCAACCCAACCAACCAGUCAGCACUCUCGACUCACUGCCCUCCUCCAACCCACCAAAUUAUUCUUAAAAAGUCUGAUCCCUGAAUGCUCAGAGAGACUGAUUUGAU